rnacentral:misc_RNA from 1 species
GAUGAAGAACGUAGCGAAAUGCGAUAAGUAAUGUGAAUUGCAGAAUUCAGUGAAUCAUCGAAUCUUUGAACGCACAUUGCGCCCUCUGGUAUUCCGGGGGGCAUGCCUGUUCGAGCGUCAUUAUAACCACUCAAGCUCUUGCUUGGUAUUGGGGUUCGCGGUUUCGCGGCCCCUAAAAUCAGUGGCGGUGCCUGUCGGCUCUACGCGUAGUAAUACUCCUCGCGAUUGAGUCCGGUAGGUCUACUUGCCAGCAACCCCUAAUUUUUUUAAGGUUGACCUCGGAUCAGGUAGGGAUACCCGCUGAACUUAAGCAUAUCAAUAAGCGGAGGA